CUGCAGUGAGCAGGGAUGCAAUUGUCCUGCAUUUGGUCUUGGCCUCUUUUAUGCUCUUCUCUUGGAGGCUCUCUGCACGUUGCAGUUCUGGGGAGGCCAAGAGGUAAAAUGGUCAGGGGGGCUUCCCAGCCUCUUUUAGUCCUGUUCCCCAAGGCUUUCACCCCCCAUCCCAGCAAGCUCCCUCUUGCACUGACCCGACCCACAAUGUCCCCUGUGACAAAGUCCUCUGACUUAGGGGCAGAGUGGAGGGUGAAAGGUGAAACCAAGGACAGUUAAAGAUAAGGCAGAGUCCAGUUGGCUGCCCUGACACUGCUCUGACCACAGCUCUUCCAUCCCAUUUUACUGCUAUUCUGCUCCUAUCUUCCAAGAGAUGUGCUCUUAUCCACCCCACACACAUUCCUCACCUGCCUCCCAUUCCUGACUGGCAAUGGGAGGGGGAGGAGAAGGAUGUGUCACUCUCCGUGGCAGACAGGGAGAUAAGCAGGUCCCAGGGAGAGGAAAGAUGAGAAGGAACACUUUCCACCCAUCAUAGGGACCAUGUUAGGAGGCUUCUCAUGAAGCUUAGGACUCAUCCUCUCCACUACCCCUUACCCCUAUGAUAUGAGCACAAAGAACCCUUAGCAAUGAGGAUCUUCAUUCACAAUUCCACCCUCCUCAUGCAAUCCACAUCAUACACAUUCACAGAAAUAACUCCCACCACACAGCACUUCAACAAGAAUAUCCAUCUAGUGAAAGCCAACUGUAGGCGUACUUUCUCCUAUUUACUUUUCUCUCUCAUUCACAUAUACCCCAGCUUACAUACAGCUCCAUUCACAUACACUUAUGUAAAUACACAUGUGUGCACAUCAAAACACCAUCACUCAAAUACAUUCACACACCUACAUGCUCUAGGUGGCCCUUCUUCCCAGAGACCUCCCUGCAGAGACCCUGUUACUAACAGUUUAGACAGAAGUUAAAGUUGAUCUCGGCCUUCCAACUGCCAGGGCAGUCCUCUGGGCUUCACACCCCUGCUACUCACAGUCAGGGGUAGUCUCCAUCCAAGAUGCAGGAAAAGUUAGAGUGUUGUUCUCCAAGGCAACACUCCAAAUCUUUAGGAUACCUCAAGGUCGCCAGCUAAAUAUAUUAUUUACCCCAAGCUGGGGAUGGUAGUGGGGUGGGCUUCUUCAGGGGUCAGAACUGUCUCUACGUAGAGAGCUCAGGCAGCCACUGCCAGCCAGGCACACAAAGACUAUGUGCUAAAGGGAACCAGGGCAGGGCUUUCCAUGCCAUGUGGGGCCUGGGUAGGUGGGGCCAGGAAAUGGGAGGGCUACCCUGCUGCGAGGACCCCGCCUUGCACAUGGAUACUCUCUGGUCCAUGGUCCCCAGUUCCUCCUGAAAAAUUAUUGAGAUUCCAUCUACUUUCCACUCAAGGUACCAUGCUCCUUUGUAAUGAGCUCCUUUGUAAUGAGCUUUGUAAUGAGCUCCUUUGUAAUGAGCGUGGUAUCUUGAGUGGAAAGUAGAUGGAACUUUUUCAUUUUUGUCAUUCCUCUCAUCCCAGUGUUUAUACCACAGAAUAGUGGUAUGGAUGAGACAACAGGCCCUAGAGUCAGAGUUCAGUUCAGGUUUUUGGUUUCUGGGAUAGUUACCUCACCUCAUUAAAGUUCGGUUUCCUCAUCUGUAAAUGAGGGUAGACAAUGGCUACCUCAUAGGAUUGCUAUAAGGAUUAACUGAGAUAAUAUAGUAAAUUUAGCACUUAACACAGUGUGAAGGCCCACUAUAACCAUUACUAUUGAAGUCUUCUUGACACUAUACUUUCUUGAUAUAUAUGGAUACUUUCUUGUUCACACAUAUCUUCUCCCAUGACUCACACAUACAUGCCUUCAUGUAUUCAUAAUGUACUCACACACGCUCUGUUCCCAUGAGUUUUCUACAGCUCUUGUGGUCAGAAACCCCUUUGACAUGUGACCACAGCAUCACUGAGAAAGGGGCAGUGAAACUCUCCUGAGAAAAGGAGGAAGAGGACAGCAAAAAGGAACAAGAGAGAGACUGCAGUCAAAUAAAACAGAUACUACACGCACUCGUCGGGGCAGCCGUACUGCAGAAGCACGUUGAUGCACUCCUGGCUGGAGGCCUGCCGGGCGUAGGUCAGCGCUGUGUUCCCGUGGGCAUCUCGGGCCAUGACGUCCACC
rnacentral:lncRNA from 10 species